UCUGAAUAUGGGGGGACCAUCCUCCAAGGCUAAAUACUCCUGACUGACCGAUAGUGAACCAGUACCGUGAGGGAAAGGCGAAAAGAACCCCGGCGAGGGGAGUGAAAAAGAACCUGAAACCGUGUACGUACAAGCAGUGGGAGCCCCACCACUAAGCCAGUGGUGAACUCCACAUACGCAUCCUUUGCUGAGGAGACGGUUAACGGAGCGAAAGCGACGUUCAACCUCAAAAGAAGCAGAGGGGGCUUAGUGGUGGGGUGACUGCGUACCUUUUGUAUAAUGGGUCAGCGACUUAUAUUCUGUAGCAAGGUUAACUGUAUAGGGGAGCCGGAGGGAAACCGAGUCUUAACCGGGCGUUAAGUUGCAGGGUAUAGACCCGAAACCCGGUGAUCUAGCCAUGGGCAGGUUGAAGGUUGGGUAACACUAACUGGAGGACCGAACCGACUAAUGUUGAAAAAUUAGCGGAUGACCUGUGGCUGGGGGUGAAAGGCCAAUCAAACCGGGAGAUAGCUGGUUCUCCCCGAAAGCUAUUUAGGUAGCGCCUCGUGAAUUCAUCUCCGGGGGUAGAGCACUGUUUCGGCUAGGGGGCCAUCCCGGCUUACCAACCCGAUGCAAACUGCGAAUACCGGAGAAUGUUAUCACGGGAGACACACGGCGGGUGCUAAUGUCCGUCGUGAAGAGGGAAACAACCCAGACCGCCAGCUAAGGUCCCAAAGUCAUGGUUAAGUGGGAAACGAUGUGGGAAGGCCCAGACAGCCAGGAUGUUGGCUUAGAAGCAGCCAUCAUUUAAAGAAAGCGUAAUAGCUCACUGGUCGAGUCGGCCUGCGCGGAAGAUGUAACGGGGCUAAACCAUGCACCGAAGCUGCGGCAGCGACACCGUGUGUUGUUGGGUAGGGGAGCGUUCUGUAAGCCUGUGAAGGUGUGCUGUGAGGCAUGCUGGAGGUAUCAGAAGUGCGAAUGCUGACAUAAGUAACGAUAAAGCGGGUGAAAAGCCCGCUCGCCGGAAGACCAAGGGUUCCUGUCCAACGUUAAUCGGGGCAGGGUGAGUCGACCCCUAAGGCGAGGCCGAAAGGCGUAGUCGAUGGGAAACGGGUUAAUAUUCCCGUACUUGGUGUUACUGCGAAGGGGGGACGGAGAAGGCUAUGUUGGCCGGGCGACGGUUGUCCCGGUUUAAGCGUGUAGGUAUGUGUUCCAGGUAAAUCCGGUUCACUUUAACACUGAGGCGUGACGACGAGGCACUACGGUGCUGAAGCAACAAAUGCCCUGCUUCCAGGAAAAGCCUCUAAGCAUCAGGUAACAUCAAAUCGUACCCCAAACCGACACAGGUGGUCAGGUAGAGAAUACCAAGGCGCUUGAGAGAACUCGGGUGAAGGAACUAGGCAAAAUGGUGCCGUAACUUCGGGAGAAGGCACGCUGACACGUAGGUGAAGUGAUUUACUCACGGAGCUGAAGUCAGCCGAAGAUACCAGCUGGCUGCAACUGUUUAUUAAAAACACAGCACUGUGCAAACACGAAAGUGGACGUAUACGGUGUGACGCCUGCCCGGUGCCGGAAGGUUAAUUGAUGGGGUCAGCGCAAGCGAAGCUCCUGAUCGAAGCCCCGGUAAACGGCGGCCGUAACUAUAACGGUCCUAAGGUAGCGAAAUUCCUUGUCGGGUAAGUUCCGACCUGCACGAAUGGCGUAAUGAUGGCCAGGCUGUCUCCACCCGAGACUCAGUGAAAUUGAACUCGCUGUGAAGAUGCAGUGUACCCGCGGCAAGACGGAAAGACCCCGUGAACCUUUACUAUAGCUUGACACUGAACAUUGAGCCUUGAUGUGUAGGAUAGGUGGGAGGCUUUGAAGUGUGGACGCCAGUCUGCAUGGAGCCGACCUUGAAAUACCACCCUUUAAUGUUUGAUGUUCUAACGUGGACCCGUGAUCCGGGUUGCGGACAGUGUCUGGUGGGUAGUUUGACUGGGGCGGUCUCCUCC
rnacentral:rRNA from 1 species